AUUGAACGCUGGCGGCAUGCCUUACACAUGCAAGUCGAACGGCAGCGGGGGAGAAGCUUGCUUUUCCUGCCGGCGAGUGGCGAACGGGUGAGUAAUACAUCGGAACGUGCCCUGUAGUGGGGGAUAACUAGUCGAAAGAUUAGCUAAUACCGCAUACGACCUGAGGGUGAAAGUGGGGUACCGCACGGCUUCAUGCUAUAGGAGAGGCCGAUGUCUGAUUAGCUAGUUGGUGGGGUAAAGGCCUACCAAGGCGACGAUCAGUAGCGGGUCUGAGAGGACGAUCAGCCACACUGGGACUGAGACACGGCCCAGACUCCUACGGGAGGCAGCAGUGGGGAAUUUUGGACAAUGGGCGAAAGCCUGAUCCAGCAAUGCCGCGUGUGUGAAGAAGGCCUUCGGGUUGUAAAGCACUUUUGUCCGGAAAGAAAUGGCUCUGGUUAAUACCUGGGGUCGAUGACGGUACCGGAAGAAUAAGGACCGGCUAACUACGUGCCAGCCGCCGCAGUAAUAC
rnacentral:rRNA from 1 species